GGCCCCAUCGUCCAGCCCGGCCUAGGACAUCUGGUUCUCAGCCAGGAGACAGGGGUUCAAAUCCCCUUGGGGCUACCA
rnacentral:tRNA from 1 species